rnacentral:rRNA from 1 species
UUGGAUUCGCUAGUAAUCGCGCAUCAGCCAUGGCGCGGUGAAUACGUUCCCGGGCCUUGUACACACCGCCCGUCACACCAUGGGAGUCGGUAACACCCAAAGUUGGUAGUCUAACCGCAAGGAGGACGCCGCCUAAGGUGGGAUUGAUGACUGGGGUGAAGUCGUAACAAGGUACC